rnacentral:lncRNA from 1 species
CUGAGACCAAGGCCAAUUUGGCCUGGAAGUGCUUCAAUUUCACCAAAACCGUGAAGAACCCUAGAAUUGGGUGUUUCCAAUUCGACCUUCAAACUUGUUCCAACGCCUCAAUUACCUCUUGGGCUUUGUUUUAGGUCCUAAGGGAAUGCUAAUGGUGUUAGUAAUUGAAAGAAAACAUUUCAAAAUUUGGAGAAUUUAAACAAAAGGGUCGCGGCACCCGUAGGGGUGUUCUUCGCGAAAUCACAACGAAAUUCAAUGAUUCUUGGGGUGAAACGUGAAGAGGGAAGGCCUAGAUGAUGAUUAGGAGUGGUACCUUGAUUCAAUUCGUCGGAAAAUUGGACGAAAAUGGCGAAAACCCGCCGAUUGGAAGUCGCGGGUCGCGCGGGUAUACGGGUUGGGGAAAACCCAUUUCUUCCUUCUCUCCUCCGCUUCUCGCCCUCUCUCCUUUCCUCCUUUCCUUCCUCUAGUUGGUCAGCUUCUCCCUCUCUCUUCUCCCCAUUCGGUCUCUCCUCCUUCUUCUCCGAUUGGGCAGCUUUGCCCAAUC